rnacentral:rRNA from 1 species
AGUCAACAUGCCCAGGGGACGUGGAUAACCUCGGGAAACUGAGGAUAAACCGCGAUAGGCCAAGAUUUCUGGAAUGAAUCAUGGUUUAAAUCUAUAUGGCCCCUGGAUUGGACUGCGGCCGAUCAGGCUGUUGGUGAGGUAAUGGCCCACCAAACCUGUAACCGGUACGGGCUCUGAGAGGAGGAGCCCGGAGAUGGGCACUUAGACAAGGGCCCAGGCCCUAUGGGGCGCAGCAGGCGCGAAACCUCUGCAAUAAGCGAAAGCUUGACAGGGUUACUCUGAGUGAUUUCCGCUAAGGAAGUCUUUUGGCACCUCUAAAAAUGGUGCAGAAUAAGGGGUGGGCAAGUCUGGUGUCAGCCGCCGCGGUAAUACCAGCACCCCGAGUGGUCGGGACGAUUAUUGGGCCUAAAGCAUCCGUAGCCGGUCCUGCAAGUCCUCCGUUAAAUCCACCCGCUCAACGGUUGGGCCGCGGGGGAUACUACAGGGCUAGGAGGCGGGAGAGGCAAGCCGGUACUCGAUGGGUAGGGGUAAAAUCCACUGAUCCAUUGAAGACCACCAGUGGCGAAGGCGGCUUGCCAGAACGCGCUCGACGGUGAGGGAUGAAAGCUGGGGGAGCAAACCGGAUUAGAUACCCGGGUAGUCCCAGCUGUAAACGAUGCAGACUCGGUGAUGGGCUGGCUUCGUGCCAACCCGGUGCCGCAGGGAAGCCGUUAAGUCUGCCGCCUGGGGAGUACGGUCGCAAGACUGAAACUUAA